rnacentral:misc_RNA from 1 species
AACUUUCGACAAUGGAUCACUUGGCUCUCGCAUCGAUGAAGACCGCAGCGAAAUGCGAUACGUAAUGUGAAUUGCAGAAUUCAGUGAAUCAUCGAAUCUUUGAACGCACCUUGCGCCCCUUGGUAUUCCAAGGGGCACACCCGUUUGAGUGUCGUGCCAAUCGCAACCUUCACGGUUUCUUCCGGACACCGAGGGAGGCAUGGACUUUGGAGGCCUUUGCUGGCGUCUCUCGCCAGCUCCUCUCAAAUGAAUUAGUGGGGUCCUCUUUGCCGAUCCUCGACGUGUGAUAAGAUGUUUCCAUGUCUUGGUUUAUGGCUCUGUUGCUUUUGGGACCCGCUUCUAACCGUCUCAACGAGACAACGUUCGAGCGUGUCGAACACUCUUGAACCCACGAACCCUUGACCUCAAAUCGGGUGAGACUACCCGCUGAAUUUAAGCAUAUCAAUAAGCGGAGGCU